UGUGUUGGAUUUAUUGAACGUAUGUAUCAAAUUGCAUGCUUAAAAGGCUUGGUAGAUGGUAGCAGAAGGUGAAGGUUGAACUUUUGUUGCAGACAUAUCCAGAUAAUGCAGCAUACCAUUUUGCGUGUGUUACACUGUCGGCAUAAAGUACGUGGUAGGGAGAGGGGGAACGGACUCAUGUACCAGCGCUUGUUGAUGACGUUUCAGUUAUUCUAGCAGACGCAAUGGAGGUAGAGGCAACAAAUGAAGAUUGCUCCUGGCUUCCUUUUAUUCUUGAUAUUAUAAAAUGCAUGGAUAAAGACAGUAUGGAUGUGAACCAAGAGCUGACCAAGCUAAAGACUAAAAUUCAAGAGACCAGGGAGAAGAUCCUAGCCAUGCCUGAGAUAGAGUCCAGUCCUGGGGAGCAGCAGGAGCAGCUGAAGACCAUGAGAGAGAAGGUGGACACCAAGACACAGCUCCUACAAAAAUACAAGGGCCUCUGUGUGUUUGACUCUCCCAAAUCAUAGUGGGAUGGGGACAACAUUUUGGGUGAAUGGAUUAUCAGGGCAUGGUCUGAAAAAAACUAAGUAUGGCAUCCAAACUAAUUUAGCUAGGUUUCACUGUUGUUUAACUUCAAGUUAAAUAAUGGUGAGUGCAGCGUUCAGUCUGGUUUAACCAGGCUACAAAAGACUGACCUUUUUUAUGCCAAAUGUGUUCAUCAUUCAGUGAAUUCAUAGCCUGGCUUCUUUCAAUUUAGAUAAGUACUGACUGUUUGAUAUCGCGUAAUUGUAGAACAGAAUUAUUAUCAAUAAGAAGUGUUAAAUAGUGUAUAUUUAGCUUAUUUUAUUGUUGUAUUGUAGAAAUAAACACAUUUCAUUGGGCCUUUUUUUUUGUUAUUCUCAGUUAUGUGGAUGGUAUCUGAAGUAUUCAGUCAUAAAUGAUUGGUAGACAUAGCAAAGCAAAUUCCUGGAAAGGCCUAGCCCAUUGAAAUACUAACACAAAGCAGUCAUCUGCCAAGAGAGAACUGCAUAUUAAUUAGCUUUGUAAUUACACGUUUCAGCCAUUAAACCAGGGGGAAGAACAGAAUGUUACAGAAGGCAGGUAGAAUUAUUUUCAUUGGAACGGUUGUAAAAGAUCAUGUCCCAGUCUUUGCAGGAUAGGCAUAAUCAAGACAUGCAUGUCACUGUUCUUGUGUAUGAAUUUACAGGACAAGUUGAGCUAAAGGGGUAAGUUGAGUCACCCUAUCAUUUUACCAAAUGUUUAGGAAGAGGUCAUCAUUUCAUGGAGUGUCAAGGAAGAAACCACAUGAAAAAAGUGGUAAAGUUAAGUCAGAAAAAAAUAUUUUCAGCAAGUCAAAUGAAUGUAUUAUGUUAGCGGUUUCAUGAUGCUUGGAUCUAAACCAAAGGAAAUAAUUUUAAGAUUGUUCGAUACAUCAGUUGGGGUCUCUAACCUUCAAUAGGAGGUCUUAAACACAGCAUGAAAGUACACUGAGAUAUGAGGUAACAACAAGGCCUGGCCUAUGUUAAAAGUGUUUAAAAAAGACAGUGUUUAAGUGUUAAGCUUAUGUUAAAAAAUGCUUAAAAUUAUUCAAAGACGAAAAAGUAAUUGUAAUUGUGUUGAAUUGUGUUUGGGAAAUAAAUAUAGACAUGGUUUUAAAAAGGUAGUAGUAAUAUUUAAUUCAGUACAGAAUUUGUAGGCUGCUUAAUUUACCCUGUUCAGCGGCUCAAUUUACCCCAUACCUGG